GUAGUGCCUUUACUGUGCCGUCUCCUUGGAGAACUACAGGUCUGCAGUUGAGGGAGUUGGUGAGGUGGCCUCAUCUGUUGCUGCUGCUGGGAUCAGUCUGCUGUUGGGUAAAUGGUCACAUUCAGAGGCAGGAUAUUAUGCGUGUGGGCUCUGUAGCCCUGCUGAAUGUUCUCCAAUCUGGGCGUUGCUGCAUGAUGGUUUGGAAGCUUAGUCAAGUUAUGUAACCUUUCUGUGCCUCUUUUUACUUAACUGUAAGCAGAGACUACUAAUAAGAGUUCCCAUUUCAUAGUAUUGUUUGAUGUUAAUUCAUGUAAAGGGCUGGCACAGUGCUCAACAUACAGUGAGCACUGGCUAAUAUUCUUUAGUUUUAGGUUAUCCUAGCACAGAUUUCUAUCCUUAAAAUAUGGCUGUUCAUGACCCAAGAAGUCCUAGAUUUUAGUAAGACAAGUAAAACUGGCAUGACUUGAGUUUUCAAGGCCAAAGCCUAGAAACUAUUUAGUUUGCAGUCUUCCUGUAGAUCAGUAUAUGUAUACUUGCUGUUUCCUUCCUUAAAAGGUGAGUUGCAGUUUUGCAUGUGUGCUGAGUUCCUCCGUACGUCAGAGGGCAAAGAGGUGACAGGAUCUAGUCUGCUUCAGCCUUUUCAGCCUAUUGACCUAUAUUCACACUUCCUAGUGUGUCUUAAGGAAUAUAAACAUUGCCAGAGCUAUCAGCCCCUUAUUAAGUAUGUAAACUUGUAUUACCUGAUCACCAAGCUGCAUCUUAGAGUCAAACACUCAAAAACAUAACUUGAGGUAUAUAAAUGAUAUCAUCUGUUAUGGGCAGAAUUGUGUUCCUUCAAAAUUCAUAUGUUGAAAUUCUAACCCCAAUACCUCAGAAUGUGAGUAUAUUUGGAGAUAAGGUCUGCAAAGGAGUGAUUAAGCUAAAAUGAGGUCCUUAGGGCAUACCUUAAUCCUGUAUGACUGGUCUCUUUAUAGAAGAGGAAAUUUGAACAGAGAGACCCAGGGGGAAGAUUGCUAUGUGCAAGCCAAGGAGAGAGGCCUCGGAAGAAACAACUCUGCUGACCCCUUGACCUCGGACUUCUGGCCUCCAGAACUAGAUCUGAAUGCACAGCUGGAUCACCUGAGGAAAUGAGAAAAGUCAGGUGUCCAGGUCAGCCCCAGGCCUACUGAUGAGCCUCCUGGGCUCCCCAGGUGAUCCUGAAGCAGUCCACAGGAGUCUUAAAUGUUGGAGACCCCACAAGAUGCAGAUGCAGACACCUAUACCCAAGACUGUACUAGAGGAUGCACACUGGAUCCACCUUUAUUAUCUCCUUAAUGUAUUCAAGCCACUACUUUAGCUCUUAUAGAACUCAUCCAGAAAAAGCAGGAAAUUAAGAUUCUUACCUGAAGAGAUUGUGCUUAUAUCCCAGACCCGAAGCCCUUCUUUCUGACCUCCAAAAGCAUAAAUAAAUGGCAAAUCAGGGCAACAGGAAGAACAGAAGAGAACUCCCUGAGAAGAGAAUACAAAGUCAGUGAAUUCAGUCUUUCCAGAAAGCUCUAAUCUCAAUCCCUACUCCUGUCUACAAGAACCUAUGAUUGGAAUGGUUACUCAAAACCAACUCACCAGAAUCUCUUUCAAGGCUCUUGCAAAGGUAGUUCACAGUCAAGUUGGAAGAACUAUCUCUACAAUACAAAGCUGGACAAGUUCAGCAUGAUGGACAUUCUGUGAGGACAGGUGUAUGCUCUGACCACUCAGGUCUCUCAUCUCCACUGUCAUUCUAAUAGGGAUUUCCUAAUUAAUCUAAUCUGCUAAAUAUUCCCAGAAACUUUAAUUCUCCUUUCUAAGUAAUGAUGCUGAUACCAGAUGUCAUUAUUCAAUCAUUUAAAAUUUCAACUUUAUUACUAGAUAACAUAUGCAUCAUAGAAAAUACAAAAAAGUAUAAAAAUCACUCUGAGAUAACCAGCUGUUCAUGUUUUGGGACAGGGUCUUCUAGAUUUAAAUAUAAGCAUUCAAAGACUUAAGUAUUUAAAUGUGUGCAUGGAAUGAUGCUAUAAAAACUGUUCUGUAACCUGCCUUUCCACAGAUAUUUAUAUAUAUAUACAUACAUAUACACAAUUUUAAACAGCUGUGUGCAGUGUUUUAUGUCUUCAAUUUUUAUAAUUUAGUG